CCAGCUCAGCAAUCCAAUCGGGAGGGAGGACACUCCCUGGAGUUCUACACCACGGAACAGGAGGACCUGCAGAUCUUCACAAAAAACAGAUUGUGCGCAUGGGACCAGUCCUUCACAUGAGAAAAAUCAUCAAGUUCUUCACAACAGAACACAACAGUGAAAAUGACAGAACCAGGAGUAGAAGUGUCUCUGCGUAUUAUGAAGGAGUCAAACCAACAGACAACGGGGACAGUUUGUGUGGUUUUAAGGGGGACAGAGAACCACAACCUCACAGCUGUCAAGAGAAAUGCGUACGUCACGUCUAAAAAGUGAGGACAAAGGAGGAGUUCUGUAUUCUUGGAACACUGGCGUCUCAUUUAAUUUCCACUAUGCAGCCAGUCACAUUGGACCACCGAGGCAAUAACGGUGCAACCGCUCUGAAUGGUGAAGACUUAUCCAGUUUAUGCCUCUAAGCAUUGAGAAUAACCGUAGGACGUGCAGUCACAAGAAUGGAACUAGAAGCAAACUGGACAGAAGAGGCAUCCGGCAUUACAAGGUACGCUGAGCAUCAGUGGGAAGGAGAGGAUAGGGAAAACCGCCCUCCUUUCUUUCCCAAACCCUUCCUUGGAAACUGUAGCAACGAGGCACUAUUGUCUUUUUUUUUUUUUUUUUUUUACAGUAUCAAUAGGGUUACUAUUUGACCAGGAAU